UACCAGCACCCCGAGUGGUCGGGGCGAUUAUUGGGCCUAAAGCAUCCGUAGCCGGUUUUACAAGUCCUCCGUUAAAUCCAACUGCUUAACAGAUGGGCCGCGGAGGAUACUAUAAGACUAGGAGGCAGGAGAGGCAAGCGGUACUCAGUGGGUAGGGGUAAAAUCCGUUGAUCCAUUGAAGACCACCAGUGGCGAAGGCGGCUUGCCAGAACGCGCUCGACGGUGAGGGAUGAAAGCUGGGGGAGCAAACCGG
rnacentral:rRNA from 1 species